UGAGAGCGGCGGACGGGGAGAAGGGCUAGGAAUCUGCCUGGUAGUGGGGGAUAACGUUCGGAAACGAACGCUAAUACCGCAUACGUCCUACGGGAGAAAGCAGGGGACCUUCGGGCCUUGCGCUAUCAGAUGAGCCUAGGUCGGAUUAGCUAGUUGGUGAGGUAAUGGCUCACCAAGGCGACGAUCCGUAACUGGUCUGAGAGGAUGAUCAGUCACACUGGAACUGAGACACGGUCCAGACUCCUACGGGAGGCAGCAGUGGGGAAUAUUGGACAAUGGGCGAAAGCCUGAUCCAGCCAUGCCGCGUGUGUGAAGAAGGUCUUCGGAUUGUAAAGCACUUUAAGUUGGGAGGAAGGGCAUUAACCUAAUACGUUAGUGUUUUGACGUUACCGACAGAAUAAGCACCGGCUAACUCUGUGCCAGCAGCCGCGGUAAUACAGAGGGUGCAAGCGUUAAUCGGAAUUACUGGGCGUAAAGCGCGCGUAGGUGGUUUGUUAAGUUGGAUGUGAAAUCCCCGGGCUCAACCUGGGAACUGCAUUCAAAACUGACUGACUAGAGUAUGGUAGAGGGUGGUGGAAUUUCCUGUGUAGCGGUGAAAUGCGUAGAUAUAGGAAGGAACA
rnacentral:rRNA from 1 species